GACGAACGCUGGCGGCGUGCUUAACACAUGCAAGUCGAGCGAAUGGAUUAAGAGCUUGCUCUUAUGAAGUUAGCGGCGGACGGGUGAGUAACACGUGGGUAACCUGCCCAUAGACUGGGAUAACUCCGGGAAACCGGGGCUAAUACCGGAUAACAUUUUGAACCGCAUGGUUCGAAAUUGAAAGGCGGCUUCGGCUGUCACUUAUGGAUGGACCCGCGUCGCAUUAGCUAGUUGGUGAGGUAACGGCUCACCAAGGCAACGAUGCGUAGCCGACCUGAGAGGGUGAUCGGCCACACUGGGACUGAGACACGGCCCAGACUCCUACGGGAGGCAGCAGUAGGGAAUCUUCCGCAAUGGACGAAAGUCUGACGGAGCAACGCCGCGUGAGUGAUGAAGGCUUUCGGGUCGUAAAACUCUGUUGUUAGGGAAGAACAAGUGCUAGUUGAAUAAGCUGGCACCUUGACGGUACCUAACCAGAAAGCCACGGCUAACUACGUGCCAGCCGCCGCGGUAA
rnacentral:rRNA from 1 species